rnacentral:rRNA from 1 species
GCAACCUGCCUUCGACUACGGGAUAACACUUAGAAAUAGGUGCUAAUACCGUAUAAGACCACACUCGGGCAUCCGAGAGGGGUAAAAGAUUUAUCGGUCGAAGAUGGGCUCGCGUCCCAUUAGCUAGUUGGUGAGGUAACGGCUCACCAAGGCUACGAUGGGUAGCCGACCUGAGAGGGUGAUCGGCCACAUUGGAACUGAGAUACGGUCCAAACUCCUACGGGAGGCAGCAGUGGGGAAUAUUGGGCAAUGGAGGCAACUCUGACCCAGCAACGCCGCGUGAGCGAUGAAGGUCUUCGGAUUGUAAAGCUCUGUCGCAGGGGACGAAGUAUGACGGUACCCUGUAAGAAAGCCCCGGCAAACUACGUGCCAGCAGCCGCGGUAAUACGUAGGGGGCUAGCGUUGUCCGGAAUUACUGGGCGUAAAGGGAGUGUAGACGGCUUGUCAAGUUAAGUGUGAAAGCCCGCGGCUUAACCGUGGAAUUGCACUUAAAACUGGCUCGCUAGAGUGCAGGAGAGGUGAGCGGAAUUCCUAGUGUAGCGGUGGAAUGCGUAGAUAUUAGGAGGAACACCAGAGGCGAAGGCGGCUCACUGGACUGUAACUGACGUUGAGGCUCGAAAGCGUGGGUAGCAAACAGGAUUAGAUAUCCUGGUAGUCCACGCCCUAAACGAUGGAUACUAGACGACGGCAGCUUGUCUGUCGGUGUCGUAGCUAACGCAUU